AGAAAACGCAAAUUUUCUCUUGGGUGGCUUAAUGAACUUACUCAUGAAUAUGACAAUCUUGUUCAGUUAGCCGAUCGUGACUUCAUGCUAUUUUUUAAAUGGAUGAAAGACUCAGGAAAACUGGAUAACUCUGUUUUAAUUGUUAUGAGUGACCAUGGUAUAAUGCAAAGAUCAGUUAAAAACACGCUUGGAGGAAGAACAGAAAAUCGAAUGCCAUUAUUUGCUAUUGUAGUACCUCCGCAUAUAAAAGCAAAAUAUCCACAUAUCCCCCAAAAUCUCAGAAAAAACACAAAACGUUUAACUACAGUUUAUGAUGCUCAUGAAACAUUAGUGGAUAUUUUAGAAAGUGAUUUUCUUCGUAGUCAAACAGUCUUGAAUGAGAAUGAAAAGCUUCCACGUGGCAUCAGUUUCUUCCGAGAGAUUCCGGAAAAGAGGUCGUGCGACGAUGCAGCAAUUCCUGGUGAUUACUGUGUUUGUAAUUCUUACGAUCAAAUGGACGUCGGAAGUACAGAGUCAAAAGAUGUAGCUCAAUUCCUCGUUUCAUAUAUUAAUCAAGUAUUAUCAAAACAGGGAGACAAAUGUGCCAAAUUACACAUCUCUGCAAUUAAAGACUUCUUUUUUGUCAAAUCAAAUCUUCAGCGUCAUAGAGAAAGGGAAGAAUUUUCUUUGAGGAACAUUUUUGGAUUUGAUCCAGAAGUGAAAAAGUUUUUGAGUGUGUUUGAGACCGUUCCAGGACAUGCUCUGUUUGAAGCUACAGUGAGCACAAACGAAAAGGGGUCAUAUGACGUCAUAGGGAGAGUCAAUAGAGUAAAUAGAUAUGGCAACCAAUCGUGGUGUAUUGAGGACAAAUUUGCAAAACCGCUAUGUUACUGCUCUUAGUAUUUUAUACAUAACAUUCCUUUGCCUGGUUUUACUAAUCUACAUGCAUGUGCCAUUAUAGAUUUUUGAUAAUGAAGGUGUUACUUGAUAUUUUUGAUAUGCAAUUAGAUAUUAGAUAAAUUAUUUUUCACUUUU
rnacentral:misc_RNA from 1 species